rnacentral:rRNA from 1 species
UACGUAGGGUGCGAGCGUUAAUCGGAAUACUGGGCGUAAAGAGCUCGUAGGUGGUUUGUCGCGUUGUUCGUGAAAACUCACAGCUCAACUGUGGGCGUGCGGGCGAUACGGGCAGACUUGAGUACUGCAGGGGAGACUGGAAUUCCUGGUGUAGCGGUGAAAUGCGCAGAUAUCAGGAGGAACACCGGUGGCGAAGGCGGCUACCUGGACCGGUUCUGACGCUGAGGCGCGAAAGCGUGGGUAGCAAACAGG